rnacentral:rRNA from 1 species
UACGGGCAGCAGUGGGGAAUAUUGCACAAUGGGCGCAAGCCUGAUGCAGCCAUGCCGCGUGUAUGAAGAAGGCCUUCGGGUUGUAAAGUACUUUCAGUCGUGAGGAAGGUGUUAAGGUUAAUAACCUUAGCAAUUGACGUUAGCGACAGAAGAAGCACCGGCUAACUCCGUGCCAGCAGCCGCGGUAAUACGGAGGGUGCGAGCGUUAAUCGGAAUUACUGGGCGUAAAGGGCACGCAGGCGGUUAAUUAAGUUGGAUGUGAAAUCCCCCGGGCUUAACCUGGGAAUGGCAUUCAAGACUGGUUAGCUAGAGUCUUGUAGAGGGGGUUAGAAUUCCAUGUGUAGCGGUGAAACUGCGUAGAGAUGUGGAGGAAUACCGGUGGCGAAGGCGGCCCCUGGACAAAGACUGACGCUCAUGUGCGAAAGCUGGGGAGCAAACAGGGAUUAGAUACCCGU